rnacentral:rRNA from 1 species
UACGUAGGGUGCGAGCGUUGUCCGGAAUUAUUGGGCGUAAAGAGCUCGUAGGCGGUGUGUCACGUCGGCCGUGAAAACCUGCAGCUUAACUGUGGGCGUGCGGUCGAUACGGGCAUCACUGGAGUUCGGCAGGGGAGACUGGAACUCCUGGUGUAGCGGUGAAAUGCGCAGAUAUCAGGAGGAACACCGGUGGCGAAGGCGGGUCUCUGGGCCGAUACUGACGCUGAGGAGCGAAAGCGUGGGGAGCAAACAGG